ensembl:lncRNA
AUGGAUUGCAAUAGACACGCCGCAUUUUGGUCCGACUCUCCUUCUCACCAAGAAAACCGUUACAGAAUCACCCACCACAAAGGGACCAAGCAGCGUGUCAACAGGCAGGAACAGCCCAAAGUGGAGUACAGUAUGGACUAUACUUCUUGGGAGGAGAUAGACAGGUGGGCGGUCGACCCAGGGAGAGUGCCGGAGCCCGCCUGGGAUUCGAUGGAGCAGUGCGCGGAAGGAUAUAGGCGAAUGGAGUUUGCGAAGCAAGCAAGGCGGCGCGGACGGAGGCCCCAUAGUCAGCCCCAAAAAUUUAUUGGGGGGGGGCUCAGGGAGAGUGUGGCAGAGUCAGGAGCCAGACCUGAGCCAACUCUCCCUGUUUAUCGUGAGGAGCCAAGGAGGAGACCAGAACCAGAGCCGGUGUUGGAGGUGAGCGAAACAGAGACUGUGAAGGAGUUAAUGGGGAAAUUGGAGGAGAGAGAAAUGAGGGAGUUGCUGUGUUGGUGUUUUAAACAUGGAAUUCGCCCGACGGAGCGUGUCGGGGAUUUGAUGGCACCUGGGUCAGCGCUCCAUACUCGUCCUGAGGUGCGUGUUAGUCGGCUGGUGAAGAUGGUGCCAGUCUCACGUACCAGGCCUCCUGUGCACCUCCCUAGCCUUGCACGUCCUGUGCCAGCACCGCUCUCAAGAUCUCCAGUACGCCUUCACGGUCUAACCCAUCCUGUGCCACCUCCACACCCCAGCCCUCCGGUAGCAGCUCCCCGCACCAGGCUUCCUGUGCGUGUCCUCGGCCCAGUACCACCAGUGCCAGCACCACGCAUCAGGCCUACAGUGUGCCUCGCCUGUCCAGCGCUGUCGGAGCCCUUCUCCUCUCCAGCGCUGUCGGAGUCUCCCGCCUGUUUAGCGCUGUUAGAGCCUUCCUUCUCUACAGCGCUGCCGGAGUCUCCCGCCUGUUCAGAACUGCCAGUUAGCAUAGAGCUGCCAGUUAGCAUAGAGCUGCCAGUUAGCAUAGAGCUGCCAGUUAGCAUAGAGCUGCCAGUUAGCAUAGAGCUGCCAGUCUGCAAGGAGCUGCCAGUCUGCAAGGAGCUGCCAGUCUGCAUGGAGCUGCCAGUCUGCAUGGAGCUGCCAGUCUGCAUGGAGCUGCCAGUCUGCAUGGAGCUGCCAGUCUGCAAGGAGCCGCCAGAGCUGCCUGUCUGCAGGAUGCCGCCAGAGCUGCCAGUCUGCAAGGAGCCGCCAGAGCUGCCAGUCUGCAAGGAGCCGCCAGAGCUGCCAGUUAGCAUGGAGCAGCCAGGGCCGCCAGUCAGCAUGGAGCAGCCAGGGCCGCCAGUCAGCAUGGAGCAGCCAGGGCCGCCAGUCAGCAUGGAGCAGCCAGGGCCGCCAGUCAGCAUGGAGCAGCCAGGGCCGCCAGUCAGCAUGGAGCAGCCAGGGCCGCCAGUCAGCAUGGAGCAGCCAGUCAGCAUGGAGCAGCCAGUCAGCAUGGAGCAGCCAGAGCUGCCAGUCAGCAUGGAGCAGCCAGUCAGCAUGGAGCAGCCAGAGCUACCAGUCAUCAUGGAGCAGCCAGUCAGCAUGGAGCAGCCAGAGCUGCCAGUCGACCAGACUCUUCCAGAGCUGCCAGUCGACCAGACUCUUCCAGAGCUGCCAGUCGACCAGACUCUUCCAGAGCUGCCAGUCGACCAGACUCUUCCAGAUCUGCCAGUCGACCAGACUCUUCCAGAUCUGCCAGUCGACCAGACUCUUCCAGAUCUGCCAGUCGACCAGACUCUUCCAGAUCUGCCAGUCGACCAGACUCUUCCAGAUCUGCCAGUCGACCAGACUCUUCCAGAUCUGCCAGUCGACCAGACUCUUCCAGAUCUGCCAGUCGACCAGACUCUUCCAGAUCUGCCAGUCGACCAGACUCUUCCAGAUCUGCCAGUCAGCCAGGAUCUGCCGAAACCACCAGCCAGCCAGGUAGAUUCAUCAACCUGCCUGAGCUUCCUCUCACUCCCGAGCUUCCUCUCACUCCUGAGCUUCCUCUCACUCCUGAGCUUCCCCUCAGUCCCGAGCUGCCUCAGUCCCGAGCUGCCCCUCAGUCCCGAUCUGCUCCUCAGUCCAGUGGGGUUCUGGGUGAGGACUACUAGGCCAUGGUCGGCGGCGAGGGUGGACUAUCCAGGGACGCGAGGAGAAGGGACUAAGACAUUGAUUGAGUGGGGUCCACGUCCCGCGCCGGAGCCGCCACCAUGGACAGACGCCCACCCGGACCCUCCCUAUUGUUUUGAGGUGCGUUCGGGAGUCCGCACCUUAGGGGGGGGGUUCUGUCACACCCUGGUCAAAGUAUUUUGUGUUUAUCUUUAUUUAUUUGGUCAGGCCAGGGUGUGGCAUGGGUUUUUGUAUGUGGUGUGUAUUUAUGGGGAUUGUAGCUAG